CCUGCAACUUUUGCCAGAGCACUGUUCAUCGGUUUGGUGUGAACUGUGGCUAAGAUCAAGUGUAGUAUCUGUUCUUAUCAGUUUAAUAUCUGAUACGUCCUCUAUAUGAGGACUACAUAUUAAAUUGAUUUUUAGAAGAGGGGUUUGCUCUGUCCACUCCACACAUCGACCUGUUAAGGGGGCAGUCAUU
ensembl:snRNA U2 U2 spliceosomal RNA